rnacentral:rRNA from 1 species
GCGUAGCUAAUACCGCAUACGCCCUACGGGGGAAAGCAGGGGAUCGCCAGACCUUGCACUAAUAGAGCGGCCGAUAUCGGAUUAGCUAGUUGGUGGGGUAACGGCUCACCAAGGCGACGAUCCGUAGCUGGUUUGAGAGGACGACCAGCCACACUGGGACUGAGACACGGCCCAGACUCCUACGGGAGGCAGCAGUGGGGAAUUUUGGACAAUGGGGGAAACCCUGAUCCAGCCAUCCCGCGUGUGCGAUGAAGGCCUUCGGGUUGUAAAGCACUUUUGGCAGGAAAGAAACGUCAUGGGCUAAUACCCCGUGAAACUGACGGUACCUGCAGAAUAAGCACCGGCUAACUACGUGCCAGCAGCCGCGGUAAUACGUAGGGUGCAAGCGUUAAUCGGAAUUACUGGGCGUAAAGCGUGCGCAGGCGGUUCGGAAAGAAAGAUGUGAAAUCCCAGAGCUUAACUUUGGAACUGCAUUUUUAACUACCGAGCUAGAGUGUGUCAGAGGGAGGUGGAAUUCCGCGUGUAGCAGUGAAAUGCGUAGAUAUGCGGAGGAACACCGAUGGCGAAGGCAGCCUCCUGGGAUAACACUGACGCUCAUGCACGAAAGCGUGGGGAGCAAACAGGAUUAGAUAC